GGCAGCAGCUAAGAAUAUUCCGCAAUGGACGAAAGUCUGACGGAGCGACGCCGCGUGGAUGAUGAAGGCCGGAAGGUUGUAAAAUCCUUUUAUGACUGAGGAAUAAGUUCUCUGAGAGAAACGGAGGAUGGUGACUGUAGGUCAUGAAUAAGCAACGGCUAAUUACGUGCCAGCAGCCGCGGUAACACGUAAGUUGCGAGCGUUGUUCGGAAUUAUUGGGCGUAAAGGGUAUGUAGGCGGUUCUGCAAGUCUGGUGUGAAAUACCGGGGCUCAACCCCGGGACUGCGUUGGAAACUGCAGGACUUGAAUCGCUGAGGGGCAGCCAGAAUUCCAGGUGUAGGGGUGAAAUCUGUAGAUAUCUGGAAGAAUACCAAUGGCGAAGGCAGGCUGCCAGCAGAUGAUUGACGCUGAGGUACGAAGGUGCGGGGAGCAAACAGGAUUAGAUACCCUGGUAGUCCGCACAGUCAACUAUGUACACUGGGUGUCCGCACAUGAGUGUGGGUGCCGAAGCAAACGCGAUAAGUGUACCGCCUGGGGAGUAUGCCCGCAAGGGUGAAACUCAAAGGAAUUGACGG
rnacentral:rRNA from 1 species